UACAGAGGUCCCAAGCGUUGUUCGGAUUUACUGGGCGUAAAGAGCGCGCAGGCGGCUGGGCAAGUCCGAUGUGAAAGCUUCCGGCUUAACUGGAAAAUUGCAUCGGAAACUGCUCGGCUUGAAGGUGGGAGAGGGUAGCGGAAUUCCCGGUGUAGUGGUGAAAUGCGUAGAUAUCGGGAGGAACACCAGUGGCGAAGGCGGCUACCUGGCCCACUCUUGACGCUGAGGCGCGAAAGCUAGGGGAGCAAACAGG
rnacentral:rRNA from 1 species